GAGGAUCAGGACACAGAAGACCACACUGGGCCUAACCUGUUGGAUUGUGUGUUUCUUGCUGUAAUUUGCUGACAGCAACAGAACACUGAUGCCUGGAAGGUGAAUCAAAAGCCCAGGUGGGAAAGUAGAGUGGACAGGGUCAGAUGAGUGAUUACUGGCUGUGCUAAAGAACUCAGCAGUAUCCUGACUACUAGGCAGCACUGUCCCAGAUCCAGAGAGCCUCACAGCCCACCCCAGCACCAGCUCCUGACCUCAUACUUUUCACCCUGCGUCAUCUCAACUGCACUCUCAUUUUUAUAUCUGGAUGAAUACACAAAUACACACUCCUGUCUUCUGUGUGCCAAGUCCACAGUUGACACUAGUGAAGAUUUGUUGACUUGGUAAGGUGCCCCCAUUGAAACAGGUGAAUACAUAUGUGACCGCCCCUCUCGGAAUUGCCCUCAUGACCCAAGAAUGCACCUUGCUCUUGCCUUCUAAACUCACACAACCUCCUCUACUGCUACAUAGGAGCCAUGGCAAGCCAGCAUGGGUGGUUUCCACUUUGCUCCAGCCCAUGCAGUCACACAUUCUGGAACUUUUAAUGUGUAAUUGGCAGAGUAGUGCCAUGACCCCUGCACUUCUUUCCCUCUAAGUAGGGCAUCCAGUGCCCCUAGUCUCCCCAUGUUUACUUUGUCCGCUCGACCUGAGUGUCAUGGAGAAGAGAAAAAGGUGGCCAGAGCUGAAGAAUGCCUUUCACCCUGUAUUUAUUGAAGAGGAGUCAGGACGACAAGUUAUCCCUCCUGAAGAGGACCUGCGCUGGACAGCACUCCCACGGGAAGUCCACAUGGCUCACGUCAUAAGCAGCCCUCCAGGAGCCGCUCAGAGCAGUACCACCAAGAGUUCACUAUGGACUUGCUCAUCUUCAGAGUUCACAUCUGCAAAAUCCUCCUCUGGGCAAAUCAAAGAUGUGACUAGAGACUGUACUCCUGACCCAGAGAGCAGCAAGGCUUCCUUUGAUAUGUCUGUCACCUGCCUCACCAGUGAGGAAGCCCGGGGCAGUUCUAUGAAGGCCAGUCACUCCGGAAUGGCUUCCUGCCAAAGAAUCACUCUGAAGCACUCAGAAACCCUGAAAGAAAGAUCACAGAAUACUGGUGAUGAACAUGGAAACUGGAGAAUACCACAAAGUUCCACAGGACUUAAAUGCACACUAUAAGUUGCUGAUCAGGUUGGAGACAGCAAGGGAGGCCGGAGAUGCAGGAGGAUCCAUCUGGAGCCCAGGUGGGAAGGUAGAGUGGACAGGGACAGGUGAGUCCAUUGGCUAUGGGGCAACCCUCAGGAGUGUUCUGGCUACUGCACAGUCCCCCACCCCCAGAUCCAUAGACCCCUACAGCUCACCCCAGUACCAAUCACUGGGCCUGUCUGACUUUGCACCAUGAGUCAUCUUGACUUUCAAUACUUGUAUCUGGAUGAUCCCCCUCCACACACACAGGAACGGCUCCACCUCCUCCCUAUGUGGCUGGUCCCAACUUGACAGUACUGAAGAUUUGUUGAAAUGGAGAAGACUCACAUUUUGAAACAAGUUCUCACACUACUACUGCUUCACGGGAGCUGUGUGAAGGCUGCAUGUCUAGUGCCCACACUUCACCAGCACAGCCAGCCACCUUCAAGGUGAGCUCAACUGUCCUUUGAGUGGAUCCCACAUGAAAUCUGAAGUGUUUGUCAUUUGAAUCCAGAGACGGGGCCGGCACCAGGUAUGGCAGAGAGCAGGGAACUGUGGGAGGGACAACCACUGAGACGCCCUCCCCUGAUAGUCACGGCUUUCCUCUCUGUGCGCCAUGGUUUCCUGAGAAAUUUCCACCUACUGAAUGAACCCAGAGACCCUCAGAUAGGAUCAUGAUGAACUCAGCAUCCCCCUGCUGGACCCACACUCUAGGAUCCCUUGCUUAGCUUACUUUCAUCAGUAUCUCCCAGAAAGGUCUGAAGUAUUUACCUUUCUGCACUUAUCAGAAACAAUGUUGCUGCUGCUACUUUGUGGCCUCCAAGGCAUGUUGGGCCACAGCAUGGGGACAAGAGAAACCCCUGGAACCACUCAUAAUCAAGGGACAAAGCCUUAGUCCAGCCUCAUAUGGAUGGGACAGUGACAGGACCUUCCAUGUUGAACCCCAACAUCCUGGAUGAAAGAGGGAUACAGAGAUUUCCAAGAGGGCAGAAGGCCAGAACAAGUGCUUGAGAUGGGCAGAAGGAGAAGCAAAGAAAAAUGUCUGCCGACUCAGAGAGUACCCAGCACCUAGCACUGACCCCUUUUCUGGAAGAAUACUGGUCCGAGGCAGCACGAAGACCUUGACCACCUUGGCAGGCACAUUGCUGCUCCAAUGAGAAGACCGCAGAAACACUGCUACUUGUAAGGGCCAGACAGAACUGUACUUUGACAGUCACCUUUGGGGAUCUUUACCACGAACGCUGUCUCUAAGGUCCCAUCUCUUAAAAACCCAGUGACCUCUUAUGCACCCUGCGUCCAUUCAUGGUUUGCACAGGGCUGAGCCU